rnacentral:rRNA from 1 species
AUGCUGCUGCACAAUCUGAACCAGGAGAAGUCUUAUGCGACGCAUAUUAACCCUUACCGAGGUCAAGACCCAUUGUUGAUGAAGUACUUUCUAAUUGACCCAUCCGGCACCCAGCUAUUUGAUCUUAUUAGGGAUGGUAAAUUUAGAUGUCUCCAGCUUCAGUAUGCUGUUAGUGACCACAAAAAAAUUUUCGGCCAUCAUAUUUCCCCGAGAAUCAAGGGAAAGGAAGAGGAAAAACCUACAAUGAAGUUGUCGGGGAGAAGAUCCAGUGAACAAAGCUACAUCGAGUUGGGUCAAAGUGACUGGUACAUUUUCCUGAUCUGCAUCCUAUCUCAAUGUAUUUCUGUUAUGCCACGGUUCAGUUCAUCAUGGGGACAAACUACCUGUAUAAUGUCCACUCCUACUGGUCUUUCACCUGUCAAACAAGAAGACGUGGUGCAGCUAGCUGCUGAAAAGGAGAUGACUGUGGUCCUCUUGACAAUGAAGAUGAAGACGCAGCAGACCAAGCCUUUGCGUUCUCCACUCGCAUGCACAAGGAGUUCCGCAAGAUGGCCAAUGUUGUUAAGAACCAGAUUUCCUCGGGUGAGCCGCUCCUGGCGCGUCCCCUGUCUCAUCGCGCUGACCGCGUCGCGUUGUGCAUCGUGGGGAGCCGCAGAGUGGUUGGCAGGCGCAUGCGCAACCGGCUCGUGCGCCCGCACUUGUGCUCUCGCGAUGACGAGUGGGCCGACGCUGCUCCUGGUCCCGCACGUCGGCUGCUGUGGCUACGCGCACCUCACGGGAUUGGACCGUCGCGUGUGGUCUAGCGUCGCGGGGUUUGUUGAGUGGGCUACGCAGGGUGGCCCGGCGCAUGUGUGCCCCGCUGGUGCAUACGAUUUGGGUGGUGCAAUGACAUGUGGCCCUGUGCUCCUCCUGGCCCCCCUCGUCGUCCAAAGCCGCCGCACCCCUCCCUCCUUCCUCCUCGUCGCCACUCACCGUAGCCGCCGCACCUGUUUUUCUCUUCCUCUUCCCUCCAUCGUCACCACAGCCACCGGUCCGCUCCCUCCUCCUUCAUCCCCCUUCUCUCGUCAGCAACCACCGCACGAACCUCCUGAGUCGGGGCGGGUGCAGAAGGCCGUUGCGAGUAUGUAUGGGGCCGCAUCCGUCCUCCCUCCCUCGUCGGCCACCACUAAGGCUUAUUCCUCUCCUGUCCUGGCCUCGUCUCCUGCGACUGGUGGUGGAGAGCCAUGGGUGAUGGAGAGGAGGAAGGGAGGUAAGGGAAUAACAGGGGAGGGAAUUUACAGGAGCUUCACUCCCAAAUUUUGUGCCCCGAGCCAUGGAUGGCUGAGAGAAGGAAGUGGCCUACGCUCUCUUCUCAAGCCUGUGGCAAUGUCUGUUUUUCCUGAUGUCCACUUUGGUAUCCUCGUUUAUCUUGCCUGCCUUGCUCGUGUGCUUCUCCUUAUCAGCUCAGGUUCUACGAUAUACUGUGUUGCUGCAUCUUUGUUCUGCUUGCGGAAGUUCGCUCACUUUUCUAGCUAG